ACGUACACUCCUACGGGAGGCAGCAGUGGGGAAUCUUGCGCAAUGGGCGAAAGCCUGACGCAGCCAUGCCGCGUGAAUGUUGAAGGUCUUAGGAUUGUAAAAUUCUUUCACCGGGGACGAUAAUGACGGUACCCGGAGAAGAAGCCCCGGCUAACUUCGUGCCAGCAGCCGCGGUAAUACGAAGGGGGCUAGCGUUGCUCGGAAUUACUGGGCGUAAAGGGAGCGUAGGCGGACAUUUAAGUCAGGGGUGAAAUCCCGGGGCUCAACCUCGGAAUUGCCUUUGAUACUGGGUGUCUUGAGUAUGAGAGAGGUGUGUGGAACUCCGAGUGUAGAGGUGAAAUUCGUAGAUAUUCGGAAGAACACCAGUGGCGAAGGCGACACACUGGCUCAUUACUGACGCUGAGGCUCGAAAGCGUGGGGAGCAAACAGGAUUAGAUACCCUGGUAGUCCCAU
rnacentral:rRNA from 1 species